rnacentral:rRNA from 1 species
UACAGAGGGUGCGAGCGUUAAUCGGAAUUACUGGGCGUAAAGCGCGCGUAGGCGGCUUUGCAAGUCGGGUGUGGAAAUCCCCAGGCUUAACCUGGGAACUGCAUUCGAGACUGCAUUGCUAGAGUAUGGGAGAGGGAAGUGGAAUUUCCGGUGUAGCGGUGAAAUGCGUAGAUAUCGGGAAGGAACAUCAGUGGCGAAAGCGACUUCCUGGACCAAUACUGACGCUCAUGUGCGAAAGCGUGGGGAGCAAACAGG